UACGGCCGUAUCUCGUUGAAACACCAGUUCUCGUACGAUCAACGGAGUUAAGCAAAGUCGAACCUGGUCAGUAUAUAGAUGGGUGACAUCUGUGGAAAACCAGGUACUGUAAG